rnacentral:lncRNA from 1 species
GGCUUACAGACAGAAAGAAACCAAGGAAAAGAAAUAAUCAGACCCUGCUCCCAGGCUCUGCUUCAGUCAGUGCUUGGGGAUGUGUUUACUCAUAGCCCUGAAAAAAAAUUGCUGGCCAAAAGACUGGGUAGGCCAGGGCACCAAAGUUCCAUUCAUGCUGGAAAACAGAAGGCAGGAGUUUAACCCAGACCAGGCUGGGGAAACUGAAGCUCAGAGAAUUCCAAGUUUGAGAACUGGAUAGAACUCCACACCAUCACAGAUCACCACCACCCAGCUCUGGCACUGACACUGCCCCUCCCCCAGGUCAAUGCUGUGUGGUCCAUUUUAUGAGCGGCAGAGGUGACUGAGGAGACCCUUCAAACUGCAGUGGAGAAGAGGCUCCCCACACUCCCCCCUCCUUAAAAAUCCUGCAGAGGAAGGGGGAAAGAAAACCAAAGCAUUCUGUCGCCGCGGCAACCAUAAAACCCCCAGCUAAAUCCAUCUUGUGAGCUCACCGCCCCAUUAAGAUGCAGGGCCAGGCGCUGCGCCAGCCCAGCCACAUUCAUUUGUGCGAAUAAAGGUGGAGGAGGGGGAGGGGAGCAGGCUCUGGAGGGACGGGGAAAUGGCGAGAAGAGGUUAUUUACACCACCGUCCUGACCUUCUGGAGCAGCGCUGGCUCCGAUAAAUAACCCGCUCAGCGCCGUUUCAGAGCAGGAGUGGGAGGUGCAGGAAGUGAGCAAGGGCUGGAGAAGAGCCCCCACGCAGGUGCGCGUCUCUGGGUUACUAAUGGCUGAGGCGGGAGCAGGCAGCUGGCUUUGGGGGUGAUGGGGGAAGAACUCAGUUCCCUGGGACUCCCACUGAGAAAAUACCAUCCCCACCCCACCCCUGGCGCCAAUUUCCAGGCGAGGGGACGGAGAGAUGCCAAGGAGGCAAACAGCCCCGUAAAUUAGGGAUGGGGGGGCACUGCUAGGAGUCUCUGAGGUAGGAGGGAAGAAAUAUUAUAAGAUGGGGAAUGACGGGGGGCUGGAGGAACAGGAGUAGCUGCCAAAAAGAGAGGAAGAGAAACAGAAACAUCACACAAAGGCAGUUUGGAAAAAAUGUUUUAUUCCUCUUUGCACAGAGCAGUUU